AUGAACGCUAGCUACAGGCUUAACACAUGCAAGUCGAGGGGCAGCAUGGUCUUAGCUUGCUAAGGCCGAUGGCGACCGGCGCACGGGUGAGUAACACGUAUCCAACCUGCCGUCUACUCUUGGACAGCCUUCUGAAAGGAAGAUUAAUACAAGAUGGCAUCAUGAGUCCGCAUGUUCACAUGAUUAAAGGUAUUCCGGUAGACGAUGGGGAUGCGUUCCAUUAGAUAGUAGGCGGGGUAACGGCCCACCUAGUCUUCGAUGGAUAGGGGUUCUGAGAGGAAGGUCCCCCACAUUGGAACUGAGACACGGUCCAAACUCCUACGGGAGGCAGCAGUGAGGAAUAUUGGUCAAUGGGCGAGAGCCUGAACCAGCCAAGUAGCGUGAAGGAUGACUGCCCUAUGGGUUGUAAACUUCUUUUAUAAAGGAAUAAAGUCGGGUAUGGAUACCCGUUUGCAUGUACUUUAUGAAUAAGGAUCGGCUAACUCCGUGCCAGCAGCCGCUGUAAUACGGAGGAUCCGAGCGUUAUCCGGAUUUAUUGGGUUUAAAGGGAGCGUAGAUGGAUGUUUAAGUCAGUUGUGAAAGUUUGCGGCUCAACCGUAAAAUUGCAGUUGAUACUGGAUAUCUUGAGUGCAGUUGAGGCAGGCGGAAUUCGUGGUGUAGCGGUGAAAUGCUUAGAUAUCACGAAGAACUCCGAUUGCGAAGGCAGCCUGCUAAGCUGCAACUGACAUUGAGGCUCGAAAGUGUGGGUAUCAAACAGGAUUAGAUACCCUGGUAGUCCACACGGUAAACGAUGAAUACUCGCUGUUUGCGAUAUACUGCAAGCGGCCAAGCGAAAGCGUUAAGUAUUCCACCUGGGGAGUACGCCGGCAACGGUGAAACUCAAAGGAAUUGACGGGGGCCCGCACAAGCGGAGGAACAUGUGGUUUAAUUCGAUGAUACGCGAGGAACCUUACCCGGGCUUAAAUUGCAGAUGAAUUACGGUGAAAGCCGUAAGCCGCAAGGCAUCUGUGAAGGUGCUGCAUGGUUGUCGUCAGCUCGUGCCGUGAGGUGUCGGCUUAAGUGCCAUAACGAGCGCAACCCUUGUUGUCAGUUACUAACAGGUUCCGCUGAGGACUCUGACAAGACUGCCAUCGUAAGAUGUGAGGAAGGUGGGGAUGACGUCAAAUCAGCACGGCCCUUACGUCCGGGGCUACACACGUGUUACAAUGGGGGGUACAGAGGGCCGCUACCACGCGAGUGGAUGCCAAUCCCCAAAACCUCUCUCAGUUCGGACUGGAGUCUGCAACCCGACUCCACGAAGCUGGAUUCGCUAGUAAUCGCGCAUCAGCCACGGCGCGGUGAAUACGUUCCCGGGCCUUGUACACACCGCCCGUCAAGCCAUGGGAGCCGGGGGUACCUGAAGUGCGUAACCGCGAGGAGCGCCCUAGGGUAAAACUGGUGACUGGGGCU
rnacentral:rRNA from 1 species